CGUUGGCGUCGUCGUCGUCGUCGUCGUCGUCUGGCGUCGUCCGAAGACACAUUGGUUUUCGCACUCUAACUUUAGUUUAAAUGAAUGGAUCUCUAUGAAAUUUUACCACAAGGUUCAAUACCACAAAAGGAAGGUUGGGAUUGAUUUUGGGGGUUAUGGUACCAACAGUAAAGGAAUUAGGGGCCAAACAUAAGCAUUUUUAUACGACCGCAAAAAAAUUUUGUGGUCGUAUAUUGGUAUGACGUUGGCGUCGUCGUCGUCGUCGUCGUCCGAAGACACAUUGGUUUUCGCACUCUAACUUUAGUUUAAGUGAAUGGAUCUUUUAGAAAUUUGACCAUAAGGUUAAAUACCACAAAAGGAAGGUUGGGAUUGAUUUUGGGGGUUAUGGUACCAACAGUUAAGGAAUAAGGGGCCAAAAAGGGGCCAAAAAUAAGCAUUUUCUAGUUUCCAGACAAUAACUGUGGAACGGUGUAUGGAUCUCUCUGAAAUUAUACUACAAGUUUCCAUACCACAAAGGGAUGGUUAGGAUUUGCUUUGGGGGGUUAUGGCUCAAACCGUUUAGGAAUUAGGGGCAAAAAAGGGGGAAAAACAAGGUUGUCCUGGGUAAUGGACAAAUACUUUAGUACAAAACAUAAUUCAAAGCAGUGUAAGGGAGAUAAAUCAAAUACAUCAUUGAAAUUAUCUCCCUUACACUGCUUUUAAAUUAUGUAUAAAGUAAUGGUUAAUGAACAA